rnacentral:tRNA from 2 species
GAGCCAUUAGCUCAGUCGGUAGAGCAUCUGACUUUUAAUCAGAGGGUCGGAGGUUCGAAUCCUCCAUGGCUCACUA